CCUACGGGUGGCUGCAGUAGGGAAUCUUCCGCAAUGGACGAAAGUCUGACGGAGCAACGCCGCGUGAGCGAAGAAGGUCUUCGGAUCGUAAAGCUCUGUUGUUAGGGAAGAACAAGUACGGGAGGAAAUGACCGUACCUUGACGGUACCUAACGAGGAAGCCACGGCUAACUACGUGCCAUCAGCCGCGGUAAUACGUAGGUGGCAAGCGUUGUCCGGAAUUAUUGGGCGUAAAGGGUGCGUAGGCGGCCCUGCCAGUCAGGUGUGAAAACUAUGGGCUUAACUCAUAGAUUGCACUUGGAGCUUUGGGGAAUGAGUGAAGUAAGGGCCAGGUGAAUUCUCGGUGUAGGGGUGAAAUGCGUAGAGAGCGGGAAGAACACCAGUUGCGAAGGCGGCCUGCAGAGCUUUACCUGACGCUGAGGCUCGAAAGCGUGGGUAGCAAACAGGAUUAGAUACUGCUGGAGUC
rnacentral:rRNA from 1 species